rnacentral:lncRNA from 1 species
GAUCAAAUCAUAUUCCAUUUAUUCACUAAAAUAAAAUAAAAUAAAAAAACAUUCUCUAUUUGUUACAAGAAAAGAGAUAGACAUAGACAUAUGGCUAAAAUUUUCAAGUUUUUUUAUGCUAUGAUUUUAUUUAUUUUCCUAUUGAUUAAUUCAAAGGGAAUUGAUGGUAAGCCAUAUAUUUAUCCUUUUUAAGUUUUAAAUUUCCUUUUCUUAUUUUAGUUCGUAUGUAAUUUUCAAUUAAGUAACAUAAUUUUACUCUUUAAUUUUUUUUUACAGCACAUAUUGACUGUAAUACUGAUUCUGGUUGUCCGAGAAGUUUAUGCGCAUUUCGUUUUAUUCCUAAGUGUAUUGACCGCAUAUGUAAAUGUGAAAAAGUGAAGCCACAUAUUGUAUGAGUAUCAGACCAAAAAAUACACAAAUAUUAUAAAAUCUAAAAAAUGCUAGCUAGAUUUUUUUGUA